rnacentral:lncRNA from 1 species
GUGUAUUCCAAGUGAUACUGGUUUUUCAUUCAUGUUAUAAUGUAGAGUUUUCUUUUUCUUUUUUUUUUUGAGACAGGGUCUCACUCUGUCACCCAGGCUGGAGUGCAGUGGUGCAGUCAUGGCUCCCUGUAACCUCAACCUCUCAGACUCCAGCAAUCCUCCUGCGACAGCGAAGUUAAUCUUCUGGUUCGGUUCACAAAGUGCAGGAGAGCCUACCAGCUUGAAAGAAAAGGAGUCAUGUUGUAUUUGUUUCCUUGACUGAAUGGCCACUCAGCUGCUGUGUUUCUCCCUGCAUGUGACUGAAGUUUACAUUGGAGGGUGACUUCCUGAUUGCGAGUUAGCAUAUGUGUCCGGCUACCAGCCGCCUGACUGGCUGAGGAUGCUCUUUGUUUGUUCAAGGAUGAACGUUCUCCCCCUGCCUUGCAGGAAGAGGGGAGCAAGGUGCGCCUGGGAGACGCGUGAUAGUGCCCUAUAAAGCCAGUAGAGGAAAUCUUGUGGAGUGUGAAUGCACAGGCUUAGAUUCCCCUGUCCCUGAGUCGGGGGCAUGUGCUCGUGGAGAAUGACCCUAUCAAGUUCAAGGUGUGGCAUCUCCUGAUCCAGCAACAGGAUUUGUUCCAGAGAAAAAUCCGCAGGUCUUGGGACUGUUGACAGAUGGCCGUGACUAUGCUUAAUGUGGUCAUCAACUGAGAAUGGUCCGUCUCAUCUUUGAGUAUGCAAUUACCUUUAUAGCUGAUUAUGACACCCUCAGAUCAUAUCAUGAGGUGGACAAGAUGAGUCCAUGGCUCAUGCUGAGAACUGGUACUUCUGUCUUCAUAGACUCACUCACCAACCAGAGAUGUACGAUGGACCCCAAAUGGUCUGUCAAAAAUGUGAACUUGCACUAAGACAAGACCCAGCAUCAGUGACAUUAGACACAAGAUAGAAAUCAGAGAAAAGUUACUGUCCAGCAGUUUUAACCACCAAUACCCAUUUAUUUUAAUGGAAAAAAAAAUCUCUGCAUUCUAUAUGUUCCAAAAGGAUUUACCAUUGAAACAAAUACAAUAUGUGGAACUCUA